UAAGAGAAUGAAGAGAUAAAACGAUGAGAGAAUAGAAAUUGAAGGGGUGAUUAAGAGAACUCUCAUCUAAAAACCUUGAUUAUUGAGAGUUAAAUGUUUUAAUUUUGACAGUUUCAUUUUUAUUUCAUUAAUUGCAUUCUAAUAAAUGUGCACUAUCACUCAGCAGAAAUGAGUUUAAUGUCAUCAAUUGAUGUAAAAUUAUUAGGAGAAAAGCGACAAAAAUGACAUAGAAAAAAAAUCUAAUAGAGUGUCACUUGUCACUUUUAUGUGAAGUUGUUUUAGAGAUCUAACAGUUUUAUUAUAUGUAUAGAGA
rnacentral:misc_RNA from 1 species